UAACUGACUAGCAAUCUGGAAGGAUAUCAAAUGCAUAGGCAACAAUAAUUAUUAGUUUUUGUUGCAUCAGGUGAAAAUGACUGAAAGCAUUAAUGUAUAUAUACUGAAUCUUACUUCAUACUAAUAUAAAGAAGAUCUAUAGUGUUGUUAGAAUGAUGUACCCCAGGAAACUUUACAUAUCUACCCAAAAGUAGCAAAAGACCAUACUUAUGCUUAAAGCUUGCAAUUAAUUCCCUGUUUAAUGUUUUUAUGUUAAAUGGAGACUAAUAUUAGAAAAUAUUUUACUCAAUUGCGUUUCAGAAUUGAGUUGUUUUGCUUGUUGAAAUUUCUUAACAGGUUAUAACCAAAAUGCUUCAGAAACUGCAUUGGGCUGAAAAGUUCUUUUAAGUGCAAAAUAUACUAAUCCAAUCAUGUAAACAUGAAUUCAGAAUAUUGUUUGAAUACAAUUAGCAUGUUAACUGUACCACCACCAAACAUAGUAUUUGAUACUGAGAGAUAUGAAGCAUAUAGUACAUGUGUGACACAAAUACCAUGUACACGAAUGUCAAGACAUUCCCGGUUCACCAAAAACUCCAGUAUGAUCUAACAUAUCCAAGGAGAUAUCUAUCAUGAAAAAUCAAAACAUUCCUAGUUAAAGUGUCAUACUGUUAAUCAUGAAAUGGCGUUGUCGAAGUGCUCUUUUCUUGGAGGUUAUAUAUGUAUACGAAUAAGAAUUAUAGUUGGGCCAUAGAUACUCAGCUAAAAAUGUAGUAGAUAUAAUCAAUGUGAUACUCAAACAUGAUAUAAGCUUUUUUAGCAUACAUGCAAAUGGUUACCUUCUUCCCAAUCAUUCGACCACCAGCUGAAUGUGCAAAAUAGAUGUUGUAAAAGUGGCAAAUGAAGGCCUGGGGGUCGUUCUGAGACAAAUCUGUAAGAUAUACCGCAUAGGUAAGACCAGGAGAUGAAGGUUCCGGAAUGGUAUAACCUUGCUCCUUGAACCACUCCAAAUCCUUGUCCAAACUUGCAGACCUUUCCAAUCCGGUAUUUUUGAAUUCAGCAUCUGCACACCAAAUUAGCUGGGUAACUUAGUAAUGCCAACUCAAAAGCUCUCGCAGAUAUGUUGAACUAGUAACAAGUACACGUGACAACAAAAAAUAAAAACACUCUGGAAAAUAUAUCAAUCUGAACUAAUAACAAGAUCUAACAGUUUUGUAAUUGUUUUCUAUUAAUCCAAACCCAAACAAAGAAGAAACAUUCUCGAAGACAGUUUUGUAAUUGUUUUCUAUUAAUCCAAACCCAAACAAAGAAGAAACAUUCUCGAAGACCAUAAGAUAAACAAGAUUUAGGAAUCCUUUACAAGUUUAAUAAAAGCACAAGUCAUACAGAGGACAAGCCCCCUCUAAAGUGAUAAACAAUGUUGUGAGCAACAUCAUGGUUUUUGAUGUCUUCACAACAAUUAUUAGGAAGAGAUUCUCUACCUAUCAAUUCUCUACCUUUUUGAUAACUUUCUCUCUGUACGUGGUUUGAGCCUAACUCAUCUCUAUAAAACCAACUUGUAGAGUAAGAAUUGCCCCCCCCCUUAUAAAAACAUGUUCAGAUCAUAUAUUAUCCGACACGAGACUCUUAACACUCUCUAUCUCUCUUUUAAGAAACAAUUUUUCUAAUCUAAAUCUAAAUAAUCUGAUUUUAAUCACCAAUCCUUCUAGAUACACUAAGGUCACCAAAUAUCAAAGGUUCAAUCGUAGUUAAAUAGUCUCUUAAAAUAUUUGUGAGUUGUUAAGUGAUAACACAUAAUAUUUAAACUAGUAUAAUAAAAAAGAGAAAUAAAGUUACAGUAAGGAUAAGCAGCAUCUUGAACAAUCUUCUCGAGAGUAUCAUAAACAAUCUUGCUAUCAACAAGGAACCUCAAGUAACCAUCAACAGUAGGUUCCCACUUCGUCACGGCUCUCUCUUCCGGCUUUUUAACUUCUUUCUCACCUUCCUUAGCCUGGUCUUUGGUAUGUAACCUCAUAGCCACAAACCUCAUCUCCUCCA
rnacentral:lncRNA from 1 species